UACGGAGAUGACCCGGGCUGUAAACACGAUCGCUCCUGCACGCCCUCUCCUGUGUAGAGCUCAUACAGCUCCAUGGUAUACUCCGGAGCUGAGAGCGAUGAAGCAAGAUAGGAGGCGGCUUGAGCAGAAAUGGAGAUGAACUCCCGACGGAUACAAUUAUGCGCUGAAAUCAUAAGCACUGGCCAGAAGCAUGGAGUAUCAUAGAGGACAACCUAUCAUUUUCUGGGGUGUUUGAUUUGUCUUGGCCCAGAGCUGCUUUUGUGGUGCUGGUUUUAACCUAUCAAGCCUUACAUUGCUUGGGACCACAAUACCUGAUGGAACGCCUCUCCCGACAUGAACCCACCCGUACACUACACUCAACAUCCAAGGCCCUCCUCUGAGUGCCUACUCCGAGGGAAGCUCAGAGGCUGGCAACAAGGAAGAGGGCCUUCUCGGUGACCCCCAAAUUAUGGAAUGAUCUUUUUGACGAGGUGCACCUGGAGCCAACACUGUUAUCUUUUUGGCAUCAGGUUAAGACUUUCUUCUUCUCCCAGGCAUUUUAGCAUGUGUUUUUAAAUUGCUUUUAA